rnacentral:rRNA from 1 species
AAGUUUUCGGAUGGAAGCUAGAUUGACUGAGUGGCGGACGGGUGAGUAACGCGUGAGUAACCUGCCUUUCACAGAGGGAUAGCCAAAGGAAACUUUGAUUAAAACCUCAUAAAGCUGGAAUAGUGCAUAAUAUACCAGCCAAAGAUUUAUCGGUGAAAGAUGGGCCCGCGUCUGAUUAGCUAGUUGGUGGGGUAACGGCUCACCAAGGCGACGAUCAGUAGCCGACCUGAGAGGGUGAUCGGCCACACUGGAACUGAGACACGGUCCAGACACC